UUAACCUUCAGGAAAGGAGCUGGUAUCAGGCUCAGAUCUCUAACCCACAACACCUAGCAUCGCCACACCCCCAAGGGUAUUCAGCAGUGAUAAACAUUGACACUAAGCGACAGCUUAACUCAGUUAAAGUACAAAAAGCCGGCUAACCCAUGAGUGCCAGCCGCCGCGGCUAAACCUGGAACUUAAGUUGAUUACUACGGCGUUAAGCGUGUUUAAAGUAAAUAUAAAUAUUAGAAUUAAAAUCUUAGCCAACCUGUGAAAUGAUUGCUCCUCAGAAACACAAUAUAUUAUUCUAACACUCACUUGAACCCACGACAAUUAAGAAACAAACUGGGAUUAGGUACCCCACUAUGCUUAAUCGUAAAAUAUACUAAUUACACCCCAAAUCGCCCGCGUAUUACAAGUAGUAACUUAAAACCCAAAGGACUUGACGGCGUUUCACCUACCUAGAGGAGCCUGUUCUAUAAUCGAUACUCCGCGAUAUACCCUACCAUUUUUUGCCUUAUCAGUCUGUAUACCUCCGUCGUAAGCUUACCAUUUGAAUGUCAAUUAGUGAGCAAAAAGAUAACUUUGCCUCUCCAUGGCAGGUCAAGGUGCAACCUAUAAAAUGGAAAGAAAUGGGCUACAAUUUCUAACUUAGAACCCACGAAUAAUCAUAUGAAAACCGAUAAUGAAGGUGGAUUUAGAAGUAAGGGGUAAAUAAAAUGUACCCCUUAAUUUAGCAAUGAAACGUGUACACACCGCCCGUCACCCUCUUCAACAAUUCUUUAACUGUUUAUAACAACUUAUUUUACCAGAGAAGAGGUAAGUCGUAACAUGGUAAGCAUACUGGAAAGUGUGCUUUGAAUAACAAAAUAUAGCUUAACCCCCAAAGCAUUUCGCUUACACCGAAUUUAUACCUAUUGUAUCUAGGUUAUUUUGAGCCUAAAACUACGCCAUUAAACCUUUCUUCUUUCUUCCUUCAUAAAACAUUUUAACAACCUAGUAAAGGUGAUUGAAAACUUAAUAAGAGCUUCAUAUAAAGUACCGUAAGGGAAAAGUGAAAUAGAAAUGAAAUAAACAAAAGCAAAUUAAAGCAGAGAUUAACACUCGUACCUUUUGCAUCAUGGUCUAGCUAGUCUUAACAAGCAAAUAAUCUUAUUCAACUUGUACCCCCGAAACCAAGCGAGCUACUUAAGAACAACCUCUAGGGCCAACCCGUCUCUGUUGCAAAAGAGUGGGAAGAUUCUUAAGUAGAGGUGAUAUACCUAUCGAGCCUGGAGAUAGCUGGUUGCUUAAGAAAAGAACCUUAGUUCUCCCUCAAAUUUUUACUGUAAAAACUAAUACACUAAUACACCAAAACUUUGAGAGCUAUUCAAAUACGGUACAGCCUAUUUGAUACAGGAUACAACCUAAAACUUAGGGUAAUAUACACUAAUAUCUCAACCUAGUUGGCCUAAAAGCAGCCAUCUUAACAAGAGCGUUAUAGCCUAACUGAUUACAUUUGUAAUACCAACCCUCAUACAAAACCCUACCCCAAUAUUAAGCACCUUAUAACUUAUAAUUGAUAUAAUGCUGGAACUAGUAACAAGAAAAUUUCUCCAAAAUGUAAGUAUAUUUCUAACAUGAACUUUAUUUAUAACUUAAGUAGUAACUUAUCAAGAAACCCCUACUUAAUCUACUAUAUUAAACUUACACAAGAACACUUCUGGAAAGAUUAAAAUAUAAAGAAGGAACUCGGCAAACCUUAGUCUCGCCUGUUUACCAAAAACAUCACCUCUUGAUUAAUUAUAAGAGGCCCAGCCUGCCCAGUGAUUAUUUCAACGGCCGCGGUACCCUAACCACGCAAAGGUAGCACAAUCACUUGUUCUCUAAAUAAGGACCUGUAUGAACGGCACCACGAAGACUAUACUGUCUCCUUUCUCCAAUCAGUGAAACUGAUCUCCCCGUGAAGAAGCGGGGAUUACCUUAUAAGACGAGAAGACCCUAUGAAGCUUAAAAUUUAUAUCAACUGCCACCCACCCAACAUCACCACAACCUGACAGACCUGAUUACCAAUUUUAGGUUGGGGUGACCGCGGAGCAAAAUAAAGCCUCCACAAUGAAAGGACCUAACCCCUAAUUCAAGAACAACACUUCUAAAAAUCAAAAUAUUGACAUAAAUUGAUCCAAAUUCUUGAUCAAUGAACCAAGUUACUCUAGGGAUAACAGCGCAAUCUAUUUCAAGAGCCCCUAUCGACAAAUGGGUUUACGACCUCGAUGUUGGAUCAGGGUAUCCUAGUGGUGCAGCCACUACUA
rnacentral:misc_RNA from 1 species